UUCGACGAGCUCACGUUGUCCGACAAAAGUGCACUGUUACAAUAAUAUUGAAUGUUGUUAUGUUAUUACUUUACGACGAUACCUGACACUAGUGCAAUUCUCUUGAAAUGCCUUAUUAUGUAUUAUAAUAGAUACAUAUAUUAAUGUGUAAUUCGAUUUGCACGGUGUGGCGCGAUAGGUUCGAGUGAGAGCACACAAGGGAGUGAUUUUUAUCGAAACACUUGGGGAGGGCCAUCGACCCGGUAAGGCGAUCGAGGACGCGAUCCGCAAGUCAAGAACCAGACUUACCGGACGGCGAACCGUUAAGCUGCAGAGCGUUACCGAAGAAAGGUACCGACGGCGGUCCGGGUAUGUCGCGGAAAGCCGAGACGAACUUGAGCCGUCUCCUGGCGAGCAGCACGAGCAGCGCGACGGCCGCACACACCAGGACGACCGUACCGACGGUCAUGUUGCCGACGACUCGAGUGCAAAAACCGUAAUUUAUAGAUCUUACCAUAAAAUAUGAGUCAUAAGACAUAAGAUCAUCAACAGUUCUUCACCAAUUUUAACUUGUUAAAUGAACGCACAUUUCCUGCAAUAAUUAUUGGAACUCUACACAAUAAACCAGACUUUAUUUAUUAGCAAAAUUGCAAAUUAAUCUGAUACAAGGUCUACUUCUUGAUAUUGAUAUAAUGUACUUCAAACUCAACCUGUCAAUGUACUAUGUAACAAGACAACAAAAAACGUUUUGGUAAAAAUUUUAUGACAUUGUGAACUCCAGUUUUAGUCAAGUCAUUCCAUAUAGAUACAGUUAGAUUGACCAGCUCAUAUACCAGGGUUAACAGUUAUAAAUUAUAAUUUUUUUUUUUUUUAAUUAGGAUCACAUUCAGAUUAUUUAAUAUUUUCGAAUGUAUCACUUUUUAUUUAUUUUCGCUUGUAGAAAUAAUAUUAUAAUUUUAAGCAUUUUAAUUACUGGUGACCAAAAUAAUUGUUUAAAUUACACCCUUUAUGAAUAUACAGUUCCUAUGUGUUAUAUCCUUGUCGCCAAAAUCUAAAAUAUAAAGUGUUUUGUAUUCAUUAUUAUUUAUAAAUAUAUAAUAUCAUAAUGAUUAAAACAAACUGGGAGUUUUGGCGGUAGGCCGUGAUAUAAUAUUAUUCAUUACUUUCAGAACUAGUUAUGGUUAAAAUUACAUUUAUAUUAACCCGAUUCAUCGUAUGAUAACUACUUCUAA